UACAGAGGGGGCAAGCGUUGUUCGGAAUUACUGGGCGUAAAGGGCGCGUAGGCGGUCCUUCAAGUCAGGCGUGAAAGCCCCGGGCUCAACCUGGGAACCGCGCUUGAGACUGGCGGGCUAGAGUUCGGGAGAGGAUGGUGGAAUUCCCAGUGUAGAGGUGAAAUUCGUAGAUAUUGGGAAGAACACCGAUGGCGAAGGCAGCCAUCUGGACCGACACUGACGCUGAGGCGCGAAAGCGUGGGGAGCAAACAGG
rnacentral:rRNA from 1 species